CAACAAUCAACCCCUCUUCAUAGGGUACACUGGGAAUUGUAGUUCUGAUUAGUGGCCUACUAACAGCUCUUAGCACGCUCAACAAACUACAGCUCCCAUAAUUCUUUGGGGGGAAGCCACAACUGUUUAAAGUAGUAUCAUAGCGCUUUAAAUGCUUGGUGUGAAUUCAGCAUUGCUCAAUUUAUGGUGGCCAGUCUUUACCCUAAUAUAUGCCUUAUUUGUACACGUCACCCACUGAGAGUCGCCAAGAUGCUAUCACAGGUGGCUGAGAUUAAGACCUGUCAAUCUAAUAAAUUGUAUACUUCUUUUAUCCCAUUGUAGCUAUGGUUUUCCCGGUAGUGAUGUAUGGAAGUGAGAGCUGGACCAUAAAGAAGGCUGAUCGCCGAAGAAUUGAUGCUUUUGAAUUAUGGUGCUGGAGGAGACUCUUGAGAGUCCCAUGGACUGCAAGAAGAUCAAACCUAUCCAUUCUGAAGGAAAUCAGUCCUGAGUGCUCACUGGAAGGACAGAUCGUGAAGCUGAGGCUCCAAUACUUUGGCCACCUCAUGAGAAGAGAAGACUCCCUGGAAAAGACCCAGAUGUUGGGAAAGAUGGAGGGCACAAGGAGAAGGGGAUGACAGAGGACGAGAUGGUUGGACAGUGUUCUCGAAGCUACCAACAUGAGUUUGACCAAACUGCGGGAGGCAGUGGAAGACAGGAGGGCCUGGCGUGCUCUGGUCCAUGGGGUCAUGAAGAGUCGGACACAACUAAACGACUAAACAACAACAACAAUCCAUUCCCUGCCAAGAUAUCUGGUAGAUUUACCAAAUGUUAAAAUGAGGAUAGCCUUUACACAGGCAAGACUAAACGUCCUUCCAUCAGCAGACUGGACAGGCCGACAUAAAGGAGUUCCUAAGAAGGACAGGGUUUGCAGCUGCAACUCUGUUAUCAGUAGAAGACAUAAUUCAUGUACUCCGUGAGUGCCCUUUCUGUGACAAUCUCAGAAACAAUCACAUCCACCCAUUGCUAAGAUCGCAGAAGGGAAGGCCGUCUCUUGCAAAGACCUGUCUUUUGCUGUCCGAUGUUGAGAGAUAUAUAUGCUGCACAUGUAGUUUCAUGGUGAAUUUUGGAUAUAAUGGAGAUGUAAAAGAUUUGGAUUGUUAUAAAAGAUGCAGGAGGAAAUGAUUAAUAAUAGGGCCCACAAAGGGGAGGAGG
rnacentral:lncRNA from 1 species